UUCUGUAUCAAAGCAAUCCAAAUUUUGCAAACUAAGAAACUGUGUAGUUUCUUAAAAUCUUGGGGAUGGGGGUGAAUCUGGAAAAGGUGAUAAAACUACACAGUUUCUUAGUUUGCAAAAUUUGGAUUGCUUUGAUACAGAU